rnacentral:rRNA from 1 species
AUUGAACGCUGGCGGCAUGCCUUACACAUGCAAGUCGAACGGCAGCACGGGAGCAAUCCUGGUGGCGAGUGGCGAACGGGUGAGUAAUAUAUCGGAACGUGCCCAGUAGUGGGGAUAGCCCGGCGAAAGCCGGAUUAAUACCGCAUACGACCUACGGGUGAAAGGGGGGGAUCGCAAGACCUCUCGCUAUUGGAGCGGCCGAUAUCAGAUUAGGUUGUUGGGGGGGUAAAAGCCCACCAAGCCGACGAUCUGUAGCUGGUCUGAGAGGACGACCAGCCAGACUGGGACUGAGACACGGCCCAGACUCCUACGGGAGGCAGCAGUGGGGAAUUUUGGACAAUGGGCGCAAGCCUGAUCCAGCCAUGCCGCGUGCGGGAAGAAGGCCUUCGGGUUGUAAACCGCUUUUGUCAGGGAAGAAACGGCUUUUUCUAAUACAGAGAGCUAAUGACGGUACCUGAAGAAUAAGCACCGGCUAACUACGUGCCAGCAGCCGCCGUAA